rnacentral:rRNA from 1 species
CCUACGGGUGGCAGCAGUGAGGAAUAUUGGUCAAUGGACGGAAGUCUGAACCAGCCAUGCCGCGUGCAGGAAGACGGCUCUAUGAGUUGUCAACUGCUUUUGUACAAGGGUAAACCUGAAUACGUGUAUUCAGCUGACAGUACUGUACGAAUAAGGAUCGGCUAACUCUGUGCCAGCAGCCGCGGUAAUACGGAGGAUCAAAGUGUUAUCCGGAUUUAUUGGGUUUAAAGGGUGAGUAGGCGGAUUGAUAAGUGAGAGUGGAAAUGUACGAGAUUAACUCGGGAACUGCCUCUAAUACUGUAGAUCUAGAGAGUAGAUGCGGGAGGCGGAAGGUAUGGUGUAGCGGUGAAAUGCUUAGAGAGCAUACAGAACACCGAUUGCGAAGGCAGAUUACCAAUCUAUAUCUGACGUUGAGGCACGAAAGCGUGGGGAGCAAACAGGAUUAGAUACCCGAGUAGUC